rnacentral:lncRNA from 1 species
GUGGACUCGGAGAGGAAAACCCACACUCAGAAAGACGCAUUCACAAUGUGGGUGGGCACCAUCCAAUAGGCCACCAGCUGGCUAGAAAAAGCAGGCAGAAGGUGGAAGAAGCAGAGUGGGGGGUCUUCCUGCUUUUGUGUUUCUCCUGUGCUGGAUGCUUCCUGCCUUUAAACAUCAGACCCCAGGUUCUUUGUCCUUUGCACUCUUUGAACUUACACCAGCGGUUUGCAAGGGGCUCUUGGGCCUUUGGCCACAGACUGAAGGCUGCACUGACCAUUUUCCUACUUUUGAGGUUUUGGGACUUGGACUGAGCCGCUACUGGCUUCCUUGCUCUUCAACUUGCAGACAGCCUGUAGUGGGACUUCACCUUGUGAUCAUGCUGCUGACUAACUUAAUGAACUGAACGGAUUAAAAUGGUGCAAGAGAAAAGGGCAUUUUUACACAAAAGGAAGCAUUUUCUGUGUUCCAGUUCAGCUGUUCCAAUGACAUUUGGUGGUGUUAUCAGUGUGAAUUAUACAAGCAAGUUUCUUUAUCCAGACUGACGCAUCAACCAUGAUCUAGCAUUUGCAAGAUGUGUAAUUACUUUGACUUUCAAGAAAACAUCUUCUGAUCUAAGGAACUUCCCAAGAUAUCAAAGCUGGCUGGCUCAGGAAUACUCUCACAGUGAUGGCAGAAGAGCAAAUCUGGAAGUUCAAACACUCAAAUGUGUUGUUGGAUUUCUGCAUGCAUCACAUGGGCUAACAACUGGUCAAAGCAAAUCACAUGGCCAAACUAAAAAUCAAAGGCCUGGAAGACAGACAAAGUGCUAUAUUGAAGGUUACAGAAGAAUAAAGAAGUUCUGAAUAGAACAGAAGCUUUCAUAAGGCAGGGGUUAUAACGACCAACAGAGACUCCACAAAACCAUUUACUCACAAGAGAAAAUAUGGCACGGAUUGGAUUAGAAGUGGAAAGACUAAUGCAUUUUUGUCCAUAAGGAUUAGAAGAAAAAUGGUUCUCUCAGCUCUGCAAGUGAGCACAACAAGCAAUCCAAAAGCAUUAUUUGUGUGAAGCAGUUUGUAGAAUUUGUUCCAUUUGUCACUAGAACUAGUGUUUGAAGCUCAGCAAAAGUUGAGUUAUGGUUAAGCCCCAGGGUCAGUGGCCACGUGUUCAGAGUAGUACCUUAGGUUUAAAGCUGAUUCACAACCUGAAAAACACUCAGUGGUGUUCUCUCCCAAAUUAUCAAUCAUUACCUUGUGGUGUUUUAAAAAGAGGAUAGAAGAUUGCUUGACCAGAAAAUAAUGACAAUAAAAAGGAAAUUAUAUAUAGUGUGUGUGUUUAUGUAUUACACAUAUAAUACAUAAUGUGAAUUUUCCCCCAUGAUAACUAUUAAACAUGUUUAUUUAAUAGUUAAAUAUCCAUCUUUGAGGGCUUUUAAAAUUUAUAUUUCUUUGUUAACUUUGAAGUUGAGACUGCAUGCAAAGGCUGCUCCAUUUCAGGUAAAUAGUGCCUCAGUAGCUGUUUGAUUUACCUUAAAAAGGAAAACAAAAUGACACACCUUCCAACCCAUAGACUUUCUGAGGUCUUUGAAAUACAACAAUAACUAGAAGAGGAGAAUUUGCGUAGUAUAGUGAUAUGGUUUGGCUGUGUCCCCACCCAAAUCUCAUCUUGAGUUAUGGUUCCUAUUAUCCCCACGUGUUAUGGGAGGGACCAGGUGAAAAUAAUUAAAUAAUCAGAGCAGUUUUCCCCAUCCUGUUCUCAUGAUAGUGAGUUAGUUCUCAUGAGACCUGAUGGCUUUAUAAGGGGCUUCCUGCUUCACUGGGUACUCAUUCUUCUCUCUCCUGCCACCAUGUGAAGAAGGACAUGUUUGUUUCCCCAUCCACCAUAAUUGUAAGUUUCCUGUGGCUUCCCUAACCAUGUGGAAGUGUGAGUCAAUUAAACUUCUACCCUUUAUAAAUUGCCCAGUCUCAAGUAUGUUUUUAAGCACCAAGAGAAUGGCCUAAUACAGUACAUUGUUACCAAGAAUGGGGUGCUACUAUAAAGAUACUCAAAAAUGUGGAGGUAAAUUUGGAACUGGGUAACGGGCAGAGGCUGGAACAGUUUGGAGGCCUCAGAAAAAGACAGGAAAAUGUGGGGAAGUAUGGAAAUUCCCAGAGACUUGGAGGGCUCAGAAGACAGGAAGAUGUGGGAAACUUUGGAAUUUCCUAGAAACUUGUUGAAUGGCUUUGACCAAAACGCUGAUAGUGAUACGGGCAAUGAAAUCCAGGCUGAGGCAGUCUCAGAUGGAGAUGGGGAACUUGUGGGGAACUGGAGUAAAAGUCACUCUUGCUAUGCAAAGGGACUGACAGCAUUUUGCCCUUGCCCCAGAGAUCUGUGGAACUUUAAACUUGAGAGAGAUGAUUUGGGGUAUCUGGUGGAAUAAGUUUCUAAGCAGCAAAGUGUUCAAGAGAAAGCAGAGCAUAAGAGUUUGAAAAAGUUGCAGCCUGACAAUGUAAUAGAAAAGAAAAACCCAUUUUUUCUUGACAGAAAUUCAAGCCUGCUGCAGAAAUCUGCAUAAAUACUUAGGAGUCAAAUAUUAAUCACCAAGACAAUGGGGAAAAUGUUUCCAGGGUGUGUAAGAGACCUUCAUGGCAGUCCCUCCAUCACAGGCCCAAAGGCCUAGGAGAGAAAACUGUUUUGGAGGGCUCUCUUCUCUAUGCAGCCUCAGGAUAUGGUGCCCUGCACCCCCGCUGCUUCAGCUCCAGUCAUGGCUAAAAGGGGCCAAGGUACAGCUCAGGCUGUUACUUCAGAGGGUGCAAGCUCCAAUCCUUGGCAGCUUCCACAUGUUAUUGAGCCUGUGGGUGUGCAGAAUACAAGAAUUGAGAUUUGGGAACCUCUGCCUAGAUUUCAGAGGAUAUAUGGAAAUGC